UACGUAGGGUGCGAGCGUUGUCCGGAAUUAUUGGGCGUAAAGAGCUUGUAGGCGGUUUGUCGCGUCUGCUGUGAAAAUCCGAGGCUCAACCUCGGACUUGCAGUGGGUACGGGCAGACUAGAGUGUGGUAGGGGAGACUGGAAUUCCUGGUGUAGCGGUGGAAUGCGCAGAUAUCAGGAGGAACACCGAUGGCGAAGGCAGGUCUCUGGGCCACUACUGACGCUGAGAAGCGAAAGCAUGGGUAGCGAACAGG
rnacentral:rRNA from 1 species